ACGAACGCUGGCGGCAGACCUAACACAUGCAAGUCGAACGCUGUAGCAAUACAGAGUGGCAGACGGGUGAGUAACGCAUGGGAACCUUCCCAGUGGUGCGGAAUAGCUCAGGGAAACUUGAGGUAAUACCGCAUAAGCCCCUAGGGGGAAAGAUUUAUCGCCAUUGGAUGGGCCCGCGUUCGAUUAGGUAGUUGGUGAGGUAACGGCUCACCAAGCCUUCGAUCGAUAGCUGGUCUGAGAGGAUGAUCAGCCACACUGGGACUGAGAUACGGCCCAGACUCCUACGGGAGGCAGCAGUGGGGAAUAUUGGACAAUGGGGGCAACCCUGAUCCAGCAAUGCCGCGUGAGUGAUGAAGGCCUUCGGGUUGUAAAGCUCUUUUGGCGGGGACGAUGAUGACGGUACCCGCAGAAUAAGCCCCGGCUAACUUCGUGCCAGCCGCCGCGGUAAUU
rnacentral:rRNA from 1 species